rnacentral:rRNA from 1 species
GGCGGACGGGUGAGUAAUACAUAGGAAUCUGCCCAUGUAGUGGGGGACAACCUGGGGAAACUCAGGCUAAUACCGCAUAAGCCCUACGGGGGAAAGGCUUCGGCCGCUAUUGGAUGAGCCUAUGUCUGAUUAGCUUGUUGGUGGGGUAAUGGCCUACCAAGGCGACGAUCAGUAGCUGGUCUGAGAGGACGAUCAGCCACACUGGGACUGAGACACGGCCCAG